rnacentral:rRNA from 1 species
CUUGGUCAUUUAGAGGAAGUAAAAGUCGUAACAAGGUUUCCGUAGGUGAACCUGCGGAAGGAUCAUUAUUGAAAUAAAUCUGAUGAGCUGCUGCUGGUUCCCCUAGGGAGCAUGUGCACGCUUGUCAUCUUUAUAUCUCCACCUGUGCACCUUUUGUAGACCUGGAUAUCUUUCUGAAUGCUAGUCACUCAGGUUUGAGGAUUGACUCUUUUGUGUCUCUCCUUAUAUUUCUAGGCCUAUGUUUCUUCAUAUACCCUAAUGUAUGUAACAGAAUGUAAUUCAUGGGCCUUUGUGCCUAUAAAUUAAUACAACUUUCAGCAACGGAUCUCUUGGCUCUCGCAUCGAUGAAGAACGCAGCGAAAUGCGAUAAGUAAUGUGAAUUGCAGAAUUCAGUGAAUCAUCGAAUCUUUGAACGCACCUUGCGCUCCUUGGUAUUCCAAGGAGCAUGCCUGUUUGAGUGUCAUUAUUAUAUAUCAACCUCUUUUGUUUGUAGAGUGUUGGAUGUGGGGGGGUCUUUUGCUGGCCUUUGAUGAUCAGCUCCCCUGAAAUGCAUUAGCGGAAAUAAUUUGUAGACCGUUCAUUAGUGUGAUAACUAUCAACGCUAUGGAUGUGAAGCAAGUUCGGCUCCUAAUAGUCCAUUGAUUUGGACAAUUCUCACUAAUGUGACCUCAAAUCAGGUAGGAUUACCCGCUGAACUUAAGCAUAUCAAUAA